UCAGUCAUUCUGGGCCACGCU
rnacentral:siRNA from 1 species